rnacentral:rRNA from 2 species
GUGAUCAUCGAAUCUUUGAACGCACAUUGCGCCCCCUGGUAUUCCGGGGGGCAUGCCUGUUCGAGCGUCAUUAACACCCCUCAAGCCCGGCUUGCAGUUGGGCGUCGUCUCCCCAUCAUCCGGGUGGGACGUGCCUGAAAAACAGUGACGGCGGCGUUCGGUCCCCAGCGUAUUACGAUCUCUCGCAUCAUCGCUUCCGGGUCGGACGUGUGCCGGUCAAAACCCCUUUAAAUUUUCAAAAGGUUGACCUCGGAUCAGGUAGGAAUACCCGCUGAACUUAAGCAUAUCAAUAAGCGGAGGAAAAGAAACCAACAGGGAUUGCCUCAGUAACGGCGAGUGAAGCGGCAACAGCUCAAAUUUGAAAUCUGGCCUCCUUCGGGGUCCGAGUUGUAAUUUGUAGAGGAUGCUUCGGGUGCGGCGGCGGUCUAAGUUCCUUGGAACAGGACGUCAUGGAGGGUGAGAAUCCCGUGUGGGACCGAUCGCCAACCCCAGGUGAAGCGCCUUCGACGAGUCGAGUUGUUUGGGAAUGCAGCUCAAAAUGGGUGGUAAAUUUCAUCUAAAGCUAAAUACCGGCCAGAGACCGAUAGCGCACAAGUAGAGUGAUCGAAAGAUGAAAAGCACUUUGGAAAGAGAGUUAAAAAGCAUGUGAAAUUGUUGAAAGGGAAGCGCUUGCAACCAGACUUGCUCCCGGGUGUUCAACCGGCGUUUUCGCCGGUGCACUCGCCCGGGAUCAGGCCAGCAUCGGUUCGGGCGGNCGGGUAAAGGCCUCUGGAAUGUGGCUCCCCUCGGGGAGUGUUAUAGCCAGAGGUGCAAUGCGGCCUGCCGGGACCGAGGAACGCGCUUCGACUCGGAUGCUGGCGUAAUGGUUGUAAGCGACCCGU